GGUACACACACCUGUACACACACUGUUUACUACCCAGGGUAGGUACACACACCUGUACACACACUGUUUACUACCCAGGGUAGGUACACACACCUGUACACACACUGUUUACUACCCAGGGUAGGUACACACACCUGUACACACACUGUUUACUACCCAGGGUAGGUACACACACCUGUACACACAC